rnacentral:lncRNA from 1 species
AUUAGGUUUUUAAACCCUAAACUGAGCUUUUCCAUGCAGUCAACAUUAGGGUUUUAAACCCUAAACUGAACUUUUUUCCAUUCAGCCAACAUUAGGGUUUUAAACCCUAAACUGAGCUUUUCCAUGCAAUCAGCAUUAGGGUUUUAAACCCUAAACUGAAUUUUUCUUUUAGUCAGCAUUAGGGUUUUAAACCCUAAACUGAACUUUUUUCCAUUCAGCCAGCAUUAGGGUUUUAAACCCUAAACUGAGCUUUUCCAUGCAAUCAGCAUUAGGGUUUUAAACCCUAAACUGAAAUUUUCUUUUAGUCAGCAUUAGGGUUUUAAACCCUAAACUGAACUUUUUUCCAUUCAGCCAACAUUAGGGUUUUAAACCCUAAACUGAGCUUUUCCAUGCAAUCAACAUUAGGGUUUUAAACCCUAAACUGAAUUUUUUUCCAUUCAGCCAGAAU